GCUCGAGGCACUGGACGGAAUACCGUUAAAGACCCUAACUUGGUGGAAAGGCUAGACCUUGAGGUCAUGGGAUUUCCUCAUCCAUGUAUGUGACUGGCCGUGACCCUGGCUGCCUGUCGGAAGCCCUCAGCUACCUACUAUAAACGAGAGGACUCGCACGUUGACUCGACUCCCAGGACUGCAGUGGGUCCAAUCCACUGGGCGAAAGGCAGGAAACACCCCGGACAAGUCGCCAGUCCAUCACAGGGCAAACACACCAAAACACUCAUACCUAGAGGCAAUUUAGUAUCUCCAGUUAACCAGACUGCAUGUCUUUGAACUGUGGGAGGAAACCAGAGCAACUAGAGGAAACCCACAUGGACAUGGGGAGAAGAUGCAAACUCCACACAGAAUGACCCAGAUUACUCUAUCUGGGAAUCAAACCCAGGACCUUCCUGCUGUGAGGAAACAGUGCUACCCAGCGAGCCACCGUGCUGCCCAGCAUAUAUUUAUUUAAGGACAUUAAUUCUAAUAUUUUUAGACAUAAUUUACAGUGGUCUUAGCAUAUUUAAA